rnacentral:lncRNA from 1 species
CAUCAUGUAGAUCACUCUCAACAAUGUCAAAUGAGCAAAUUCGAACUGAUUUGAUUGUCAUUUGUUCAACGCCGUGGAUCCAUGAUAGACCUCCCCGCUAAUAACACGGCAUGAUAAUGACUACUCUCUCUAUACGGCGUACAAUAAAUCUUGAGAUAGUAAUCCCAACAUUGAUUCAGGGACAGGAUUUUGCUCGAGUACAAUAAUUACACAUCUCUAUGUUUGUUUCUUAAAAGCUGAGAGGCCAUCGUGCAUGUCAUACUUGGCCGAGGUUAAGGUGCAGGUGGCUGUAUUACGACCCUGUAGGCGGCGGUGCUUACCCGAGGAGGAUUCAUGCCACGGUCCGGCGUCGAAGGAGAACAAGUCUUUAAGCCAGCAGACCCAACAGCGCAACCAGAGAUCACCAGACCUCGCCCCUCGCAGAUGGAGUGUGAUGCCAGCAACCACAACAUGGAGGCGAAGCACAGGAGAGUCACCAGACCUCUUCUUCUACCAUUAGGAUACCACCCCAUGCAUGCGUGCUCCUCGAACCAGCGUUCGCUGCUUGCUGCAGCACUUCUUCUCUUUCGCUUUUAUGAUUUCAGAGAGACAACCUGCAGGAGAGAGUGAACAUAUAGAAGAUUAUAGUAGGUCAUGAGGUCUAAGACAAAGGAAAGAGGAGCGGUAGGAGAGGGAGAUGGUGAUGAAGAAAAACCCGCAAGGCUUCCACGCUUGCCCGCUCGCAGCGUGAUGAUGUACAUAUGUG